AUAGGGGAGCCGAAGGGAAACCGAGUCUUAACUGGGCGUUAAGUUGCAGGGUAUAGACCCGAAACCCGGUGAUCUAGCCAUGGGCAGGUUGAAGGUUGGGUAACACUAACUGGAGGACCGAACCGACUAAUGUUGAAAAAUUAGCGGAUGACUUGUGGCUGGGGGUGAAAGGCCAAUCAAACCGGGAGAUAGCUGGUUCUCCCCGAAAGCUAUUUAGGUAGCGCCUCGUGAACUCAUCUUCGGGGGUAGAGCACUGUUUCGGCUAGGGGGUCAUCCCGACUUACCAACCCGAUGCAAACUGCGAAUACCGAAGAAUGUUAUCACGGGAGACACACGGCGGGUGCUAACGUCCGUCGUGAAGAGGGAAACAACCCAGACCGCCAGCUAAGGUCCCAAAGUCACAGUUAAGUGGGAAACGAUGUGGGAAGGCUCAGACAGCCAGGAUGUUGGCUUAGAAGCAGCCAUCAUUUAAAGAAAGCGUAAUAGCUCACUGGUCGAGUCGGCCUGCGCGGAAGAUGUAACGGGGCUAAACUGUGCACCGAAGCUGCGGCAGCGACGCUUAUGCGUUGUUGGGUAGGGGAGCGUUCUGUAAGCCUGCGAAGGUGUCCUGUGAGGGAUGCUGGAGGUAUCAGAAGUGCGAAUGCUGACAUAAGUAACGAUAAUGCGGGUGAAAAGCCCGCUCGCCGGAAGACCAAGGGUUCCUGUCCAACGUUAAUCGGGGCAGGGUGAGUCGACCCCUAAGGCGAGGCCGAAAGGCGUAGUCGAUGGGAAACGGGUUAAUAUUCCCGUACUUGGUGUUACUGCGAAGGGGGGACGGAGAAGGCUAUGUUGGCCGGGCGACGGUUGUCCCGGUUUAAGCGUGUAGGCUGGUUUUCCAGGCAAAUCCGGAAAAUCAAGGCUGAGG
rnacentral:rRNA from 1 species